rnacentral:rRNA from 1 species
AUUGAACGCUGGCGGCAGGCCUAACACAUGCAAGUCGAGCGAGCGGCGGACGGGUGAGUAAUGUAUGGGGACUGCCCGUUAGAGGGGGAUAACUACUGGAAACGGUAGCUAAUACCGCAUACUAUCGGAUAACCCAUAUGGGAUUAGCUAGUAGGUGGGGUAAUGGCUCACCUAGGCGACGAUCCCUAGCUGGUCUGAGAGGAUGAUCAGCCACACUGGGACUGAGACACGGCCCAGACUCCCACGGAGGCAGCAGUGGGGAAUAUUGGACAAUGGGCGCAAUCCUGAUGCAGCCAUUCCGCGGGUAUGAAGAGGGGCCUAGGGUUUUAAAGUACGUUAAGUCGGGAGGCGUUACCGACAGAAGAAGCACCGGCUAACUCCGUGCCAGCAGCCGCGGUAAUAC